UUAGUUCUUUUUCUAAAACACUUAAAGUUCAGGAUGGACAUGGGGGGGGAUAAAGGGGCUGAUCCCCACAAGGUGGGUGGGGUGUGAAAUCACUGGGGUUUUUUUGGAGUGGGGUCUUUGGGGCAAAAAAGUCCAUUUUUGGGAGGUUGUGUUGGGGAAUAGAGCAGCUGGGGGGCGGGGGGGGGGCUGGACAGGCACCUGUCCAUCUGUCCGUCCAGCCAGGCAACUGUCCAUGUGUCUGUCCAUGCAUCUGUCCAUACAACCUUCAUCUGUCCGUGUGUCUGUCCCCCCUGCCCAGGGGACUGUGGGUGCAGCUCCAGACAGACACACGGACAGUUGUAGGUCCAGCCAAAACGAAGGAUGGUGGCACCUCUGGAUGGACACACAGACAGUUGGAUGGAUGGAUGGAUGGUUGGACAGCCCUAAGGACACUCGGAUGGGGGCACGGACAGACGGACACUUCCAUGUUCAUGUGGAAAGAUGGGUGGUGGCAGGUCCAGCAGGACACACGGACAGCUGGAGGUACAGACAGACCAUAGUGUGUCCUGCUGGACACACAGACAAGUACACGUCCAGCCGGACACACGGACAGUGGCUGGUGCAGCUGGACACACAUUGUGCAUCCAGCCAGACACACGGACAGUUGUAUGGACAGACAGACAGACACCCGCCCAGCAGGACACUCCCCUUCUCCACCCUCUGGGAUAAUUUCCCCCAAACCAGACUUUUUCACCCCAAAGGUCCCUCUGGAUCGGGAUCAAACCCUUUACAUCCCCCCCCAGCAUCCCUGUGUCCGUCUGUCCGUGCCCUGUCUGUGUGUCCAGAGCCAGGAUCGGGCCCGCACCAGCCCCGGGGCCAUUUUUUUGGAGUGGGGCAUUUGGGGCCAAAAAAGUCAAUUUUUAGAGCAUUUAUGGUGGAGGUGGAGGAAGGGAGUGUCCGGUUGGGCAGGUGUCUGUCUGUCUGUCCCACUGGACAUACAGGUGUCCGUGUGUCUGGCUGGGUGUGCAGCUCUGUCUGUCCAGCUGGACGUGGCCUCAUCUGUGUGUCCGGCUGGAUCCGCCUCUGUCCGUGUGUCCAACCAUCCAUCCAGGGAUCCCUCUGUGUGUCCAUCUGUCCGUGCCCCAGGCUGUGCAGCCCCAAAACACACACACAACCUCCCCCAACACCCUGGGGUGGGGACGGACAGACUCCCGGACAGACAGACAGACAGCUGUGGGUCCAACCAUCCGUGUGUCCGUCUGUCUGUCCAUGCAGCCCCUGCUCUUGUCCCCACGGCACCCAGUGGGUUAAUGGGGGGGGGGGGGGGGGGGGGGGGGACNNNNNNNNNNGGGGGGGGGGCAAUGGACAGACACACGGAUGGUGCCCAUAGCGAUGCACACACGGAGAGUUGUCCAGACACAUGGACAGUGGGAUGGAUGGAUGGACGGGGGGGCACAGACAGACAGACAGCUGGACGGACAGAUGGACCCAAGGGCAGCAGGUCCAGCCAGACCGACAGUGUCACGGCCACUCAGAGACAUGGGAGGGGUUGGACGGACAGACAGACAGUUGUUCCUACCACUAGACACACGGACAGUGGCACGCCCAGCCAGACACACGGACACCUGUACGUCCAGAUGGACAGACAGACGUUUCUCUCCUCCAACCUCUGGCAUAAAUGCCCUAGAAAUGGACUUUUUUUCCCCCAAAGGCCCCACUCCAAAAAAAAAAAAGAGGCAAUUUCACGUGCAUCCAGCUGGAUCAGCCACUGUCCGUGUGUCCGGCUGGACGUGCACUUGUCCAUGUGUCCUGCUGGACAUAUUAUGGUUGGUCUGUCUGUGCCUCCAGCUGUCCGUGUGUCCCCUCUGCACCCACCCCUGGGUUUCUCUGUCCCCGUCCGUGUGUCCGUCCCCCACCCCAGGGCACUGGGAUUGUGGGGGGGGGUGUGGGAGGGGUUCGGGGCUGAUCCUGGAUCCAGCCACAUGGACAGACGGACACAUGGACACAGAGGGGGGGUAAAGGGGCUGAUCCUCCCCACACCUGGCCCCAAGGAGGGGGCCCCACGGCUGCUCGGCCUCCAGCUGUCCGUGUGUCUGUCCACACACCCAUCCGUGUGUCCGUCCCCCACCCUGGGGCACUGCUGGGGGGGGCCAGGCCUGACCCUGCUGCGUGUCCCCAGGACCCCCCCGGGGGGGGACGGGGGGGUUUGUGCCCCUUGUCCUGCCCCGGGAAGAGCCUGGAUCCAUCCCCUUCCCCCCCCNNNNNNNNN
rnacentral:lncRNA from 1 species